GAUGGUUGUGCUCUGAGGAAAUACGCACAGAAUGUCAUUUCAUCAGGCCAUAGCUGUCCA
rnacentral:pre_miRNA from 1 species